GUAGACCACUUCUACGGAACGAAUUUGGAGUGACACAAACCGGAGAUCUGACUGUAUGUUCACCAGUAUUGAGUCGCUUAACUGACGAUACUGAUCCACUUUCCUUCAGAUCAGUUAACUUGCGUUUCAUUGGCAAUACAAUGGGAGUUUUAAACAUGAUGUCUGGAUCUCCACCAGCUUUCACUGUAGAUAGUAAUGGAGUUUCUGAUGUAGCUAUAGGUGUGGCACACUUUCUCGAAUUACUGAAUUUGCAGCCUGAUGUAGAUGGAGAGACUUCAACAGGAAAAGAUUUUGAGGACAAACUACGAGCAGACGAAAAGGCCAAUGGCUUCCUUCUUGAAGAACAGACAAUUGACUCAGAUUUCAAUCCCCCAUCCUCAUCCAAUGGUGGAAGUUUCGGUUUAGCUGACAAAAAUCCUCUAGGUGCACGACCAGAUGGCCACUGAAUUUGAACUGAUGAUGUCUCCUGC
rnacentral:misc_RNA from 1 species